UACGUAGGGGGCAAGCGUUGUCCGGAUUUAUUGGGCGUAAAGAGCGUGUAGGCGGCCAUGUAGGUCCGUUGUGAAAACUCGAGGCUCAACCUCGAGACGCCGAUGGAAACCAUGUGGCUAGAGUCCGGAAGAGGAGAGUGGAAUUCCUGGUGUAGCGGUGAAAUGCGCAGAUAUCAGGAAGAACACCCGUGGCUAAGGCGGCUCUCUAGUCCGGUACUGACGCUGAGACGCGAAAGCGUGGGGAGCGAACAGG
rnacentral:rRNA from 1 species